rnacentral:rRNA from 1 species
UGGGGAAUUUUGGACAAUGGGCGAAAGCCUGAUCCAGCAAUGCCGCGUGUGUGAAGAAGGCCUUCGGGUUGUAAAGCACUUUUGUCCGGAAAGAAAUCCUUGGCUCUAAUACAGUCGGGGGAUGACGGUACCGGAAGAAUAAGCACCGGCUAACUACGUGCCAGCAGCCGCGGUAAUACGUAGGGUGCAAGCGUUAAUCGGAAUUACUGGGCGUAAAGCGUGCGCAGGCGGUUUGCUAAGACCGAUGUGAAAUCCCCGGGCUCAACCUGGGAACUGCAUUGGUGACUGGCAGGCUAGAGUAUGGCAGAGGGGGGUAGAAUUCCACGUGUAGCAGUGAAAUGCGUAGAGAUGUGGAGGAAUACCGAUGGCGAAGGCAGCCCCCUGGGCCAAUACUGACGCUCAUGCACGAAAGCGUGGGGAGCAAACAGGAUUAGAUACCCUGGUAGUCCACGCCCUAAACGAUGUCAACUAGUUGUUGGGGAUUCAUUUCUUAGUAACGUAGCUAACGCGUGAAGUUGACCGCCUGGGGAGUACGGUCGCAAGAUUAAAACUC